AGAGUUUGAUCCUGGCUCAGGAUGAACGCUGGCGGCGUGCUUAACACAUGCAAGUCGAACGAAGCACUUUGAUCGAUUUCUUCGGAUUGAAAUUUUAGUGACUGAGUGGCGGACGGGUGAGUAACGCGUGGGUAACCUGCCUCACACAGGGGGAUAACAGUUGGAAACGGCUGCUAAUACCGCAUAAGCGCACAGUACCGCAUGGUACGGUGUGAAAAACUCCGGUGGUGUGAGAUGGACCCGCGUCUGAUUAGCUAGUUGGCAGGGCAACGGCCUACCAAGGCGACGAUCAGUAGCCGACCUGAGAGGGUGACCGGCCACAUUGGGACUGAGACACGGCCCAAACUCCUACGGGAGGCAGCAGUGGGGAAUAUUGCACAAUGGGGGAAACCCUGAUGCAGCGACGCCGCGUGAGCGAAGAAGUAUUUCGGUAUGUAAAGCUCUAUCAGCAGGGAAGAAGAAAUGACGGUACCUGACUAAGAAGCACCGGCUAAAUACGUGCCAGCAGCCGCGGUAAUACGUAUGGUGCAAGCGUUAUCCGGAUUUACUGGGUGUAAAGGGAGCGCAGGCGGAAGGCUAAGUCUGAUGUGAAAGCCCGGGGCUCAACCCCGGUACUGCAUUGGAAACUGGUCAUCUAGAGUGUCGGAGGGGUAAGUGGAAUUCCUAGUGUAGCGGUGAAAUGCGUAGAUAUUAGGAGGAACACCAGUGGCGAAGGCGGCUUACUGGACGAUAACUGACGCUGAGGCUCGAAAGCGUGGGGAGCAAACAGGAUUAGAUACCCUGGUAGUCCACGCCGUAAACGAUGAUUACUAGGU
rnacentral:rRNA from 1 species